AGAGUUUGAUCCUGGCUCAGGACGAACGCUGGCGGCGUGCCUAACACAUGCAAGUCGAGCGGAGACAGUGAGUAGCUUGCUAUGAGCUGUUUUAGCGGCGGACGGGUGAGUAACGCGUGAGCAACCUUUCCCAGACAGGGGAAUAACACACCGAAAGGUGUACUAAUACCGCAUAAGACCACGGGAUCACAUGGUUCUGAGGUAAAAGAUUUAUCGGUUUGGGGUGGGCUCGCGUCCGAUUAGGUAGUUGGUGAGGUAACGGCCCACCAAGCCGACGAUCGGUAGCCGACCUGAGAGGGUGAUCGGCCACAUUGGGACUGAGACACGGCCCAAACUCCUACGGGAGGCAGCAGUGGGGAAUAUUGCACAAUGGGGGAAACCCUGAUGCAGCGACGCCGCGUGAGCGAAGAAGUAUUUCGGUAUGUAAAGCUCUAUCAGCAGGGAAGAAAAUGACGGUACCUGACUAAGAAGCCCCGGCUAACUACGUGCCAGCAGCCGCGGUAAUACGUAGGGGGCAAGCGUUGUCCGGAAUAAUUGGGCGUAAAGGGCGCGUAGGCGGCUCGGUAAGUCUGGAGUGAAAGUCCUGCUUUUAAGGUGGGAAUUGCUUUGGAUACUGUCGGGCUUGAGUGCAGGAGAGGUUAGUGGAAUUCCCAGUGUAGCGGUGAAAUGCGUAGAGAUUGGGAGGAACACCAGUGGCGAAGGCGACUAACUGGACUGUAACUGACGCUGAGGCGCGAAAGUGUGGGGAGCAAACAGGAUUAGAUACCCUGGUAGUCCACACUGUAAACGAUGAAUGCUAGGUGUAGGGGGUAUCGACCCCUUCUGUGCCGCAGUCAACACAAUAAGCAUUCCGCCUGGGGAGUACGGCCGCAAGGUUGAAACUCAAAGGAAUUGACGGGGGCCCGCAC
rnacentral:rRNA from 1 species